AAGGCUUUAAGUUAACUAAACUAUUAUCCUUCAAAGUUAAAAAUAUAAUUUUAUUGUAAGCCUUA
rnacentral:tRNA from 1 species